CAGUGUUCUGUGAGAUCUAUCCAUCCAUCCAUGGAGUUUAGCAAUUUGUAGGGUUUCGUGGUUGCUGUUACGGUCGUAAACGUAGGGUUUUGUCUGAGAGUUGUUGUAACUACAACAACAAGUAAUGGCAACCACAAACCCUUUCGAUCUCUUGGGCGAUGACGACAACGACGACCCCUCUCAGCUUGCUUCUCAUCUGCUCAAGCUCGCGCCUGCUAAGAAAUCCUCAGCGCCUCCUCCUCAGGCCGCUCCUGCGCAGCAGGCUAAGCCGGCUAAGUUGCCCUCUAAGCCUCUUCCCCCGGC
rnacentral:lncRNA from 1 species